GACGAACGCUGGCGGCGUGCUUAACACAUGCAAGUCGAGCGGUAAGGCCUCUUCGGGGGUACACGAGCGGCGAACGGGUGAGUAACACGUGGGUGACCUGCCCUCAGCUUCGGGAUAAGCCCGGGAAACUGGGUCUAAUACCGGAUAGGACACAUUGGCGCAUGUUGGUGUGUGGAAAGUUUUUUCGGCUGGGGAUGGGCCCGCGGCCUAUCAGCUUGUUGGUGGGGUGAUGGCCUACCAAGGCGGUGACGGGUAGCCGGCCUGAGAGGGCGACCGGCCACACUGGGACUGAGACACGGCCCAGACUCCUACGGGAGGCAGCAGUGGGGAAUAUUGCGCAAUGGGCGGAAGCCUGACGCAGCGACGCCGCGUGGGGGAUGACGGCCUUCGGGUUGUAAACCUCUUUCGCCAUCGACGAAGCCCUUUAGGUGACGGUAGGUGGAGAAGAAGCACCGGCCAACUACGUGCCAGCAGCCGCCGUAAUAC
rnacentral:rRNA from 1 species